rnacentral:rRNA from 1 species
UACGAAGGACCCGAGCGUUAUCCGGAUUUAUUGGGUUUAAAGGGUGCGUAGGCGGAUUUAUAAGUCAGUGGUGAAAGCCUAUAGCUUAACUAUAGAAUUGCCAUUGAUACUGUAGGUCUUGAGUACAGUUGAGGUGGGCGGAAUGUGCAGUGUAGCGGUGAAAUGCUUAGAUAUUGCACAGAACACCAAUUGCGAAGGCAGCUCGCUAAGCUGUAACUGACGCUGAGGCACGAAAGUGUGGGUAGCAAACGGG